UUCUUUUUGUUAUAAUAUUUAAAGAGAAAGUUUAUAGCGGUUGGCUAAGUAUAGAAAGAGGGGUGAUGCCUAUGAGUAUAGGUAUUUCCCUAUCAAACUAGAAAGGCAAAAAUUUUUGAGUGUCUCAGACAGCUUAACCUUGAUGAUUGCAUUUGCAAGUUUCAUUGUUAUGUUGCUCAAUCUCAU
rnacentral:sRNA from 2 species